rnacentral:tRNA from 3 species
CAAAAAGUAGCUUAAUCUAAAGCAUUCGCCCUACAAUUGAAAAAUGUUGACGAGCCCAACCUUUUUGA